rnacentral:rRNA from 1 species
GACGAACGCUGGCGGCGUGCUUAACACAUGCAAGUCGAACGGAAAGGCCCUGCUUUUGUGGGGUGCUCGAGUGGCGAACGGGUGAGUAACACGUGAGUAACCUGCCCUUGACUUUGGGAUAACUUCAGGAAACUGGGGCUAAUACCGGAUAGGAUCUCCUGCUGCAUGGUGGGGGUUGGAAAGUUUCGGCGGUUGGGGAUGGACGCGCGGCUUAUCAGCUUGUUGGUGGGGUAGUGGCUUACCAAGGCUUUGACGGGUAGCCGGCCUGAGAGGGUGACCGGCCACAUUGGGACUGAGAUACGGCCCAGACUCCUACGGGAGGCAGCAGUGGGGAAUAUUGCACAAUGGGAGGAAGCCUGAUGAAGAAACGCCGCGUGCGGGAUGACGGCCUUCGGGUUGUAAACCGCUUUCGCCUGUGACGAAGCGUGAGUGACGGUAAUGGGUAAAGAAGCACCGGCUAACUACGUG